GCGAUUUCUGUGACUCCUGCGAUUUCUGCGACUUACCACCGUAUGAAAAAGUUACAUCGAUCCACACAGAAAAUUACCUGUCAUUGGUACCAGAACUACAUUUCAGUCACUCAGUAAAAUGAUAACUCAAAAUAUCAUUGUCAACAGAUCUGGAGAAAUUGCCACUGCAUCUUUAGACCGUUUUCGUCAGACGAGAGACACAGUUCUGACUCUGAUUACUGGUUGCUGUACGUAUCUAUCCACAUCAAGGCCGUUGAGAGAGACUCGUGAAGAUUCAAGACAGCUCUUAGAGGAUUUGCAGUUUAAAAUUGACAUAAGUGUGCAGAUGAGUGAUUAAACUGUGUUUUA